rnacentral:rRNA from 1 species
GACGAACGCUGGCGGCGUGCUUAACACAUGCAAGUCGAACGGAAAGGCCCUGCUUUUGUGGGGUGCUCGAGUGGCGAACGGGUGAGUAAAACGUGAGUAACCUGCCCUUGAAUUUGGGAUAACUUCAGGAAACUGGGGCGAAUACCGGAUAGGAGCUCCUGCUGCAUGGUGGGGGUUGGAAAGAUUCGGCGGUUGGGGAUGGAAUCGCGGCUUAUCAGCUUGAUGGUGGGGUAGUGGCUUACAAAGGCUUUGACGGGUAGCCGGCCUGAGAGGGUGACCGGCCUCAUUGGUACUGAGAUACGGCCCAGACUCCUACGGGAGGCAGCAGUGGGGAAUAUUGCACAAUGGGCGGAAGCCUGAUGCAGCAACGCCGCGUGCGGGAUGACAGCCUUCGGGUUGUAAACCUCUUUCGCCUGUGACGAAGCGUGAGUGACGGUAAUGGGUAAAGAAGCACCGGCUAACUACGUG